CAUUCUGUGACCGGAGGGAACGUGGGCCCCGAGUGCUCCUCAGACCAUAUUCCUUCCCCUCUGAGCUCGCCAGCAGCAGACCCCUUCCAGGUCCCCAACACCGCAGCACCAGCCGGGUGGUCCCAAGGAUUUGGAUGCCCAUGGCUUUGGGGAGUUAUCACUCACUCCACCUAGCACAAAAUGGAUGCAAAUGCAGAACCAUGCUCUCUCCACAUGGUUCUGAAGGAGACAGCUAAUCUGAUGACCGGCUUCCUGGCUUUGCUGAUGCCUAUUUUUCCCAGACUCUUACUUCCCUGGGUAUCCCCUUAAAGGCAUCUGCUUGUGUGACAUCCCCACAGUUCCAGUGAUCCUGGCCUGCAUUAACCUUCUACACCAAAAUAAUUUCAAAACCACUUGUUCCAACAGAAGAAAGGGUGGGGAAAAAACUGUAAUGGUAAUGUAUACAUGUAAGGAUAACCUGACCCCCUUGCUGUACAGUGGGAAAAUAAAAACAAACAAACAAACAAACAAACAAACAAAAAAACCCACUUGUUCCUGUUUACAGUUGAUUUAUGUUCUCUAUCUGGUAUAGCCAUUAGAGUUUUCAUCAGGAUUCCUCAAAUCUGCCUGGGCAAAUGCCCUCAGAGAUCUCUCACAGCUGUGGCCCUCUGGGACUUGCUGUCCCUGUCAGAGCACAGGCUUUCCCCAGGGAGGUGCUGAGUGUCCAGGGGUUCACUCCUCUGGGUCCCUAAAUUUUCACUUUCUUGCAUACUUUUUCUAGCAUGAAAGAUUGGACUGAUGUGAUCAUAAAGCUGUUUUGCCAUAAAUAUUGAAGUAAAUAACAGAGGAAAUGUUCAUGAUGAAUAAAAAAAUAGGGAAAACUCAAGAGCAUUUCCUGAACGGAGUCCAGAAUUAAGCACAUGGAAAUUCAUGCCGUCAUAACACAUUGUGACACUAUCCUAUUCUAAUGACAAAUUCUUGGGUUUUUUUCAUUUCACAAGAAGCCUUGACAUUUACUUAUGGUGUCAUGACACUGAGCAUUUGGAAAGUGACGAUUCAGGUGAUGGAAACUAACUAAUAACUAAAAAUUUACUUUAUAUAUUAUCAAACUUUGUUACUGUUUGGAGAAAGUUCCCCUGUCAUUACACAUAGUAGUUUCAUUCAUCUUAUUGCUGAAUAGUAUUCCAUUUUAUGAAUGUAUCACAAUUUAUCAAUUCAUCACUCAAUCUACUUGGGAUAUUCAUCAUGACUACUUUCUAUAAAUAAAGCUUUUCAAAACAUUUUGGAAUGUCUUUUUGUGGAAACGUUUUUAUUUUUCUUGGACACAUGCAUAGGACUAAAAUGCUGGGUCAUAUUGGAAGCACAUGUUUAAUUAGCUCAAAUCUUCCAAAAUGGCUUUACUAACUUACAUCCUCCAUGACCAGUAUAAGGGGUGUCCAGGUUCCUUACACUCUGGCAAACACUUGUUAUUUUCAGUCUUUUGCAUUAAAGCCAUUCUAGCCAAUGUCUGGCUAUGUCUUAUGAUAUUAAUUAGCAUUUUCUUAAUAAAAAAUUUUGCCGAGCAUUUUCUCAUAUGAUCAGAGCAACCAUUAGAACAACUUAUUUGGCUUAAUAUCUACAAGAGACACUCAAAUAUAAAGGCAUGCAUAGGUGAAAGGAGUUGAAAGAAAAAGGCACUCCAUGCAAAUGGUCAAAAAGAGAGGAGAGGCUAUUCUUAUAGC